CUGGUAAAAGGCACGGAGUGUCCCUGAAUGCGCCUCAGAACCAGGAAGUGUUGCUGUCAGGACGAGCGGACUAAAGACGUGUUUAUGUUUAUGUUCCGUUUUGCAACGCCGAAUUGUCUUGUGGGACAGCCAGCAUAUGAGCGUCUAAUUAGCAAUUCUAACAAUCCUCGGCACCCAGCAACGAGGCUGUGUAAACCCGCUCAUCACUGGUGAAAACAUUCACUCUGAGUGGGAGGUAAUACGCCACGGUCUCUCACGGCAACGUUCUCGUACUGUCGACUUGAGGUGUGACCAAUGCCACCAAGAACAGCCCACACCUUGACUUGCGCUCCUAAUGUGCACACCCCCCCACCACCACGCCACCGCGCUGCCUGCCUGACCACCGCUACAAAUUGGCUUCCGACGGAAUGUGAGGUGUCAAAGAGCCAUUAGAGGCACGGAGACUCAAUGUCUGCCUCGGAAUCAAGUGACAAGUGCAACAAUCCGCUCGCAAUUAACUUUGACGACAAAGCUGUAUCUUUUUACCAUUUCAGCCUUGUUUUUAUACAGGACGCUAGUUAGAAGAUAGAGCUGCUCAUCAACAUCGGUAUUGGUUGGUAUCUGUAUCAGUAAUAAAGUGCCCAAUAUCGGUAAAAAAAGCCAAUAUCAAGUGCCUUAGUUAACAUCAUUAAUCCAUUCCAGAAGGUCUGACUCAAACCAAAACAGUCUCUAACCAAAGCAAAUUUUCCCAUACAAAAU